CUCGCUGCCCUUUGCCUGGGAUUAGCCUCAGCUGCUCUAACAUUCGAUCACAGUUUAGAGGCACAGUGGAUCAAGUGGAAGGCGAUGCACAACAGAUUAUACGGCAUGAAGAAUGGAGGAGAGCAGUGUGGGAGAAGAACAUGAAGAUGAUUGAACUGCACAAUCACGAACACAACCAAGGGAAACACAGCUUCACAAUGGCUGUGAAUGCCUUUGAAGACAUGACCAAUGAAAAAUUCAGGCAGGUGAUGAAUGGCUUUCAAAACCGUAAGCCCACGAACUGGAAGGCGUUCCAGGAACCUCUGUUUCAUGAGGGCCCCAGAUCUGUGGAUUGGAGAGAGAGAGGCUACGUGACUCCUGUGAAGAAUCAGGGUCAGUGUGGUUCUUGUUGGGCUUUUAGCGCGACUGGUGCUCUUGAAGGACAGAUGUGCCGGAAAACUGGGAAACUUGUCUCACUGAGUGAACAGAAUCUGGUAGACUGCUAUGGGCCUCAAGGCAAUCAGGGCUGCGAUGGUGGCCUAAUGGAUUAUGCCUUCCAGUAUGUGUUCAGGAGAAUGGAGGCCUGGACUCUGAGGAAUCCUAUCCAUAUGAGGCAACAGAAGAAUCCUGUAAGUACAAUCCGGAGUAUUCUGUUGUUAAUGACGCUGGCUUUGUGGACAUCCCUGAGCUAGAGAAGGCCCUGAUGAAGGCAGUUGCAACUGUGGGGCCCAUUUCUGUUGCUAUUGAUGCAAGUCAUGAAUCCUUCCAGUUUUAUAAAGGAGGCAUUUAUUUUGAGCCAGAAUGUAGCAGUGAAGACAUGGAUCAUGGUGUACUGGUGGUUGGCUAUGCAUUUGAAAGAACAGGAUCAGAUAACAGUAAAUAUUGGCUGGUGAAGAACAGCUGGGGUGAAGAAUGGGGCAUGGAUGGCUACAUAAAGAUGGCCAAAGACCGGAAAAACCAUUGUAGAACUGCCUCAGCAGCCAGCUACCCCACUGUAUGAGCUGAUAGACAGAGAUGAGGAAGGACUUGACUGGGGAUGGCGCAUGCAUGGGAGUUCAUCUCAAUCUUCCAGCCCCUGCUGUGACAGAUACACACUCGAAUCAUUGAAGAUCCAAGUGUGAUUUGAAUUCUGUGAUAUUUUCACACGGGUAAAUGUUACCUCUAUUUUAAUUACUGCUAUAAACAGGUUUAUAUUAUUGAUUCACUUACUGACUUUGCAUUUUCGUUUUUAAAAGAUGUGUAAAUUUUUACCUGUUUAAAUAAAUGUAAUUUCAAAU